rnacentral:rRNA from 1 species
GAUGAACGCUAGCGGCAGGCUUAACACAUGCAAGUCGAGGGGCAGCGGGGAUGUAGCAAUACAUCUGCCGGCGACCGGCGCACGGGUGCGUAACGCGUAUGCAACCUACCUCAAACAGGGGCAUAACACUGAGAAAUUGGUACUAAUUCCCCAUAACAUCUUGGAGGGCAUCCUCCGAGGUUGAAAACUCCGGUGGUUUGAGAUGGGCAUGCGUUGUAUUAGCUAGUUGGUGAGGUAACGGCUCACCAAGGCGACGAUACAUAGGGGGACUGAGAGGUUAACCCCCCACAUUGGUACUGAGACACGGACCAA